GCAUGCGCAUUUUGACCAUAAACAAAGGGGAUUUAUUUAUUAAAUGGCAGUGAAAAUAGGAUUAAAAGGAGCAGAAGCAUCGUGUAAUUAUUAGAUCACUAUCGAUGUUUUAAUGGUUCCAGGUUGUCAAAAGAAGGAAUUAGUCAGCCGUCACCAGAAAUUGAGGAUGCCAUAAGAAAUUAUUUCUGGAAUGGUUAUGAAUUCGAAACAAUACAUUAUACCUCAGCUGAACCACAAAGACAACUUUUCUAUCAGCCAACAUUGCUGAAGAAGCUCUUGUGGGACAUUCAAGGACAAAACCUGUGCUGGUCAAAAUGUGAUCCUGUCCGGAAUUCCAAACUGUCUCCUGGCAAGUGUUUUCCAGAAAGGAAUACCUUUUCUAAAUUAUUAUGUGCAAAGAAGCUGCAGCAUGGGUCAUGCAAUCUACAACCAGGAUAUGCAGCUUUGGAUCCAAUAUUUCAGAUGAAUGAAGAUGCCAGUCAUCUCUGUAGGACUUGUGUGUGUGAAAAUGAUUCAAAAUAGUGAAAUUUACAGCAUAUCAUUUAUAAUAAAGCAACACACAGAAUAUGAGAAUAUACUGUUCAAUUCCAUUUAUGCCAAUUAUAGCAGUAAUUUUUUUACUAAAAUUGAAAAAAAAUCAAAUUUGCCAUUAUGAUGUUUUUCUACACUUACUAUAGGAUGUAGUCAUCUUACAUAUGAAUAUACAAGUACUAGCAGUGAUAAUGAAUCUUGAAGUUUUUAUGAUUUUUUACCAUUCCACUUCUACACCAAUUGACCUGGAGACGAUCAGUAUGGCAUUUAGUGGUGUUUAAAUGUUUAUAAACAAAAAAGAUCACUAUUUCUAUAUGUAGACAGGUCACUUUCACCCCAGCAGUCUGUUUUGUUUUUGUCACUUGUGUUGUCCAAGUAAUCUUCAUGUAUGUACAAUGUUCUGUAUGGGGUGAUGUCUUAAACAGAUUUUAUAUAUUUAAUUUAAAAUUUCAUUGGUUGAUAUUUGUAUCUUUACCGCACUAGACUAACUUUCUAUUUUUUCCUCUAAUUCAGUACCUGAACUUUUUCAGUGUGUUAAGUAACACUCAGUUUAUCAUGUAACUGUUUAAAAUUUUAAGUAUAUUAUAUUGUCUCAUAUCCUGGUGAGUUGUUUUAUAUAAUUACAUAGUUACGGUAAAGAUUAUUUUUUGUAUUAGAUAAUAUCUAAAUAAUUAAACACAUUUGCAUUUCUUUA